UUUGAAAGAUAUGUUUUUAUAUGUCUACUUGUUGUUAAUAUUAUAA
rnacentral:sRNA from 1 species